rnacentral:lncRNA from 1 species
CCUCUGUUGAGGCUGUUCCUGCAUCCCCCCCCUUUUCUCCCUUAUUGUUACUAUUCCAAAGACCCAUACUGGUGAAAUCCAAGGCGGAGUUGGCAUUCCAAGGAAGAAACACGCCACGCGCAUACAAACAAAAUUGUUGCUGCUCAUCUCUCAUGCGUCACCAACGAAUCUACAGGCAAUAAAAACAGAUUCAAUGUGAACAUAAACUGGUGGCUCCAUGUAUAAGCUCCUCCAGCCUUUAAUAUUACUGUUGGUACCUUCAGAUGAGUGGAAGAAAUGCAGUGCUGGAUUGGGCCAAAGGCCCAUCUAGCCCAAGAUCCCGUUAUCACAAUGGCCAACCAGUUAAAUAUGGAAGCCCAGAAACAGGACAAAAGAACACAAAAUCUUCCUAGAUGCUGCCUUCGGAGGCACAGCACCGCCAACCUGCUGCUGAGCUACACUGGCUGCAGUGAAGUUUUCCUGGUUACACUGCUAUCAAACAGGAAGGAGAAGGCAAUUCUGCUGCACUGCCCAGGUUGUGGAGUUUUCUGCCGUCUGAAGAAUUACAGACAAGUACUCUGUUGAGUUUUUAGUACCUGCUUAAAAGCUUGUGGCCGACCACUGAGGAGAUAAUCUGGGUGGCUGCAAGUUACAGUAUAUGUUAUGCUUUUAUUCUGUGCUG